rnacentral:rRNA from 1 species
AUUAUGUGGGUGMUGGUGCAUGGCCGWUCUUAGYYKKUGGAGUGAWUGUCUGCUUAAUUGCGAUAACGAACGAGACCUUAACCUGCUAAAUAGCCAGGCUAGCUUUUGCUGGUCGCCGGCUUCUUAGAGGGACUAUCGGCUCAAGCCGAUGGAAGUUUGAGGCAAUAACAGGUCUGUGAUGCCCUUAGAUGUUCUGGGCCGCACGCGCGCUACACUGACAGAGCCAACGAGUAUAAACCUUGACCGAGAGGUCUGGGUAAUCUUGUUAAACUCUGUCGUGCUGGGGAUAGAGCAUUGCAAUUAUUGCUCUUCAACGAGGAAUAUCUAGUAAGCGCAAGUCAUCAGCUUGCGUUGAUUACGUCCCUGCCCUUUGUACACACCGCCCGUCGCUACUACCGAUUGAAUGGCUCAGUGAGGCCUUCGGACUGGCUCAGGGAGGUCGGCAACGACCACCCAGAGCCGGAAAGUUGGUCAAACUUGGUCAUUUAGAGGAAGUAAAAGUCGUAACAAGGUUUAGAUUAAGAUCCUUUCGAGGUGACGCUUAUGAGAAGCCUUUGUGACCCUGCAAAGGGUACCUGCCGCGACUGUAAACAAUGAAAGCAAGGUAUUAAAACGCAAGUCGGCCUUACGAGGUCGGCCACACUUUCGAAUUGCGGGGACACCCUAAAGCCCUCUCCUACCAAACCGGCUGGGAAACCAGCUGGCGGCUCGUGCUAAUGACACGAGGUAUGGUAACAACGGAGGGGGAUAACCGUGUGGGUAAUCCGCAGCCAAGUCCCUAAGGCCUGACCGGCUAUGGGAAAGGUUCACAGACUAAGUGGAAGUGGGCUGAGGUGCCUGGCACUUUGGCUUAAGAUAUAGUCGGGCUUGACGGGAAACCGUCGGGGAGUCAGAAAACCGUUCCGUAGGUGAACCUGCGGAAGGAUCAUUAAUAUAACUGAAAGUUGCCGGUUCAGGCCGGUCGACAUUCACCAACCCUCUGUGAACCAAAAAACCUUAGCUUCGGUAGCUGACCGGUCACCUUUGAUUAGGAGGCCGCGUCGUAACCCUGCCGGUGGCACCCAACCAAACUUGUUUUUAAAUUUUGUCUGAAACCAAUCAUUUUCGAAUGAAAUUAAAACUUUCAACAACGGAUCUCUUGGUUCUCGCAUCGAUGAAGAACGCAGCGAAACGCGAUAGUUAAUGUGAAUUGCAGAAUUCAGUGAAUCAUCGAAUCUUUGAACGCACAUUGCGCCCUUUGGUAUUCCGAAGGGCAUGUCUGUUUGAGCGUCAUUUCAACACCCUCACCUCAAGGUUUUGCGACCGGACAGGUGGUCUUGAGCCCUGCCCUGACCGGUUUGGCUUUAAAGUUGACGUUCUGUGUGGUACUCAUCCUUACCUUCCGUAGUAAUUUACUUUAUGACUGUUCGUUAGGAUUUGGCACGCACCUGAAAAAAAAUCUUUCUAAGGUUUGACCUCAGAUCAGACAAGGAUACCCGCUGAACUUAAGCAUAUCAAUAAGCGGAGGAAAAGAAACCAACAGGGAUUGCCUCAGUAACGGCGAGUGAAGCGGCAACAGCUCAAAUUUGAAAUCUGGAGUCUUCGACUUCCGAGUUGUAAUUUGAAGAGGAUGCUUCGGUUGUGGCCCUGGCCUAAGUUCCUUGGAACAGGACGUCGUAGAGGGUGAGAAUCCCGUACACGGCUGACGGCUUACUUCCAUGUGUAGCUCCUUCGAAGAGUCGAGUUGUUUGGGAAUGCAGCUCAAAUUGGGUGGUAAAUUUCAUCUAAAGCUAAAUACUGGCGAGAGACCGAUAGCGCACAAGUAGAGUGAUCGAAAGAUGAAAAGCACUUUGAAAAGAGAGUCAAACAGUACGUGAAAUUGUUGAAAGGGAAGCGCUUGCAAUCAGACUUGCUUUCGGUUGAUCAACGUUCCUUCUGGUUCGUGCACUCUGCCGUUCGCAGGCCAGCAUCAGUUUGAGCGGUGGGAUAAAAGUUUCGGGAAUGUGGCUCCCUUC